rnacentral:rRNA from 1 species
UACGAGACGACGCUGGCGGCGUGCUUAACACAUGCAAGUCGAACGGAAAGGCCCUGCUUUUGUGGGGUGCUCGAGUGGCGAACGGGUGAGUAACACGUGAGUAACCUGCCCUUGACUUUGGGAUAACUUCAGGAAACUGGGGCUAAUACCGGAUAGGAGCUCCUGCUGCAUGGUGGGGGUUGGAAAGUUUCGGCGGUUGGGGAUGGACUCGCGGCUUAUCAGCUUGUUGGUGGGGUAGUGGCUUACCAAGGCUUUGACGGGUAGCCGGCCUGAGAGGGUGACCGGCCACAUUGGGACUGAGAUACGGCCCAGACUCCUACGGGAGGCAGCAGUGGGGAAUAUUGCACAAUGGGCGGAAGCCUGAUGCAGCAACGCCGCGUGCGGGAUGACGGCCUUCGGGUUGUAAACCGCUUUCGCCUGUGACGAAGCGUGAGUGACGGUAAUGGGUAAAGAAGCACCGGCUAACUACGUG